rnacentral:ribozyme from 13 species
UAAGAAAAGUUGAACGAUCGAACAGCCCAUUUGAGAGAGGAAUCUUUUUUCUCUUCUUUUUCUUCUUUUUCUUCUCUUUCUUCUCUUUCUUUC